rnacentral:lncRNA from 1 species
UUCUGGACCCUAAAGGUGGAGUCCCUGGGGAACCUCAGACGGCUGGACCAACACUAGCUUGAAAGAGAUGCCACUUCCUUCUUCACGUCAUUGAACUGGGAGUCCCAGCAAUAGAAUGAUGAAAUAAAGAGGCUCAGAAUACUGGAGCAAAACAAAGAUUAGAGUCAUUCAACUUAAACCCUGUGUUUUACCUCUCAGGUAAUGGAGUUGCAGGUCUUUCUAACUGUGCUAUGUGGGAUGCAGCCUCAGCAUGGCUUGACGAGCGGUGCUAGGUCCACGCCAAGGAUCCAAACCCACGAACCCCUGGGCCACGAGGGUGGAGCACACAAACUUAACCAUUCAACCAUGGUCCCAAGAGAAGACCUAGGAAGUCUUUCUGGAAAAGCCUAGAAAACUUCAGCAAGCUCCCCAUUGCUCUCAGUUAAGUACUGGAUAGAUAAUUCUGUAGCCAAUUUAUCACACAGGCAUUUUGGGGGCACAGUUGGUGAUUGGUGGGGUGGCCAUCCUUGCUCAGCUACAAUGAGCUUGCUUUCUAUUUGUGGGUUUCUCAUACUUAUCAGAAUAAAUCCAUACUCAACAAGUUGAGGAACUCGAUACAGGGGGCACUGCUUGACCAUUUUUAAGGUUUAUCUGCAGGAAGAGUUUAUGAUAGAUUGAAUGCACAAAGGGCCUUUGUUUUCCAUGCAUCUUUGUGUCCACCCC